GCGCUGGUGGUGUAGGGGUUAAGCGCGCGACCCUAUAUAGAGGCCAUAGUCCUCCAUGCGGCGGUCCCAGGUUCGAGUCCUGGACCCAGCGACCU